AUGUUGCCGCCGGCGGCGGCGCCGCCGCUCGACGACGAGAACCUACUCACCGAGAUCCUCCUCCGCCUCCCGCCGCUCCCGUCCUCCCUCCCGCGCGCAUCCCUCGUCUGCAAGCGCUGGCGCUGCCUCACCUCCGACCCAGCCUUCUCCCGCCGCUUCCGCCUCCACCACCGCCGCAACCCUCCCCUCCUCGGCUACUUCCACGGAGUUUUUGACGAGAUCCCCUUCGAGCCUAUCCACUUCGAGCCUACUCUGGAGGCCCCCAAUCGCGUUCCGCCCGGGCGCCUCUCCUUGCAGUCUGACUCCAACCUCCAUGUACUGGGGUGCCGCCAUGGCCUCGUAUUAAUCUUGGACUGGCCCCAGCUCCUGGUAUGGGACCCCGUCGCCGGCCACCAGCACCGCCUAGCCUAUCCCCCGGGGUUCGAUCCGGACAAGUCCAACGGGGCGGUGCUCCGCUCUGCCGCCGGUGCCGGCGAGGUUCACUUCCAGGUCGUCUUGGUCGUCGUGUCAGAUUAUGAGGAGAGGUUGCUCGCCUGUGUCUACUCGUCAGAGACUGGGGCGUGGGGUUCUCUAAUCUCAACACCAACUCCAUCCGGGGACUCCCCUGACACCAGGGUUUGGUGGGAGCCCGCUGUGCUAGUUGGGGAUUCCCUUUACUGGAUGAUCGCUGAUACCACUUUGUCCAAUCUCCUUGAGUUCGAUUUGAAGACGGAGAGCCUAGCCGUGAUGCAGCUGCCACCGGAAAAGUCGUGUGAUGCAGAAAGCGGGGUUAGUCACGAGCAUUUCACUGUCAUGCAGGCAGAGGGUGGUGGUGGGCUCGGCGUGCUCUCUGUGUCAGGCUUCACCGUCCAAUUAUGGAAGAGGAAGACCGGUUUCGAUGGCGUUGCAUCAUGGGAGAUGGGAAGAACUGUUGAACUGGACAAGCUUCUCUCUAUGGGUUCACAGGAUUUCUUGACCAUACAAGGGUAUGCCGAGGACAAUAAUUUGGCGUUCCUGUGGACCGGUAAGAGUGUCUUCAUGGUCAUGCUUGAGCCAUUUCAGUGCGAGAAACUUUUAGACACCAACAAGUGGGAUCGUUAUUAUCCAUUUGAAACCGUCUAUGCUGCAGGUACCUAG
rnacentral:rRNA from 1 species